AACGAACGCUGGCGGCAUGCCUAACACAUGCAAGUCGAACGAAGUGGUGCACGGGUGCGUAACGCGUGGGAAUCUGCUCUUGGUUCGGAAUAACAGCUGGAAACGGCUGCUAAUACCGGAUGCCUGAGGAGGAGCCCGGGUUGGAUUAGGUAGUUGGUGGGGUAAAGGCCUACCAAGCCGACGAUCCAUAGCUGGUAUGAGAGGAUGAUCAGCCACACGGGGACUGAGACACGGCCCCGAUUCCUACGGAAGGCAGCAGGGGGGAAUAUGGGACAAUGGGCGAAAGCCUGAGGCAGCAAGGCCGCGAGAGUGAUGAAGGCCCUAGGGUUGUAAAGCUCUUGUACCCGUGAAGCGGUACCGGGAGAAUAAGCCCCGGCUAACUCCGUGCCAGCAGCCGCGGUAAUAC
rnacentral:rRNA from 1 species